UUACGCCACUUUUGUUCUACAGCCAUGUAGUGCCGUAGCUCUUAGUAAAUUAGAUUGCGUACAAGCCAAAGCUUUAAGGAUCAUCCUUGGAGCUAUGAAAUCUAGCCCUAUCAAUGCUAUGCAAAUAGAGUGUGUUGAACCACCUUUAUGUUUAAGACGACAAUUUCUAUCUGAUAGGUAUAUAUUUAAAGCUAUGCAAUUUUCAUAUCAUCCUUUACGUAAUAAACUCCAACUCCUUCUGGAAUUUACAGACACUUGUUCGUAUUGGUCCCAUAAAUCUCCCCCGUGUCUUAUCAAAAGCUAUCGAAUAUUUUGCUCCAUACAAGCGCCGAUGUAUAGUACAUAUUGUUACCCUACUUUCGGUAUUAAAUAUAAUGCAUUAAUAACCUCUCCGGAUGUUAGAAUCAAUCCAGAUAUUCCAAGAAAUCAAUUUGAAGCUCCUCUGUUUGUAAACAUAUUAAAAGAAAAUGAAUUUAAUGAUUAUCAUUAUAUAUAUAGUGACGCUUCUAAGCAUGCAUCAGAUGGUAUAGUAGGAGUUGGAGUUUUUCAUUUUCAAUAUAAUAUUGUUCAGAAAAUAAAACUUCCACCUGAAUCAUCUGUAUUUACUGGAGAAUGCCUUGGUUUGUUUAAAUCUGUUGAAUAUAUUCUUCUUGCUAAACUUAAGAAAUCCAUUAUAUUUACGGACUCUAUGAGUGCUCUGCAAGCUCUAUCUAGAUGUCCUUUUAAGUCUGCUCAAAUUCAUCAUAUUAUUUUAAAAAUUAGAACACUUCUACUUACAUGUAAUGAAAAAGGCUAUUCAGUGGUGUUUUCCUGGGUACCAGGUCACUCAGGCAUUCCUGGAAAUGAACGUGCUGAUCAGCUUGCCAAUGAGGCUAUUUCAUGCGGAGAUAUGGCAGACUAUUGUAACUACGCCUAUGAUUUGUGUACACUGACAAAACGUUCACUUCAGGAGUCCUGGAAAGUGGCUUGGUCAAUUUCCAGCCAAUCAAAGGGCAAAGCCUUUGCUAGGAUACAAAACUUUAUUCCGACAAAGCCAUGGUUCUCAAGGAUAAAAUUGAGCAGGAGGGUAACAUGUAUCUUGACGCGUAUGCGUUUGGGCCACGUUUGCUCUCCUGUUCAACUUGCGAAAUUUGGAAUUGUGAGCAGUGAUUUGUGCGAGUGUGGUGAAGUGGGUGACCUUAAUCACAUAUUUUUAUCAUGUCCAAAAUUUAAUCGAGAAUCAUUUUACAAGGACCUUAUUCUUUUCCACAUCCCACUUCCUACUUCCGUUGACAUCCUCUUGUCCUAUGAUAAACCUUGUAUAUAUAAACUUUUUUCCUCUUUUAUCCUAAUUAAUGAUAUUAAGUUGUAAAUACUUUUAGAUGUACAAUUUUUUAUGUAAAUAUAUGUUUUAUAGUAUUGAAAAUGAAUGAUUAGUAUUUAAUUGUAAAUAUUCAGUAUAAGUAUUCUAUUUUAUAUUUCCUUUCCUUUUCUGAUCCUUUCUAAAAUUUCCGUACCUUCAAAAUUUCGAGUUUUAUAAUUAAACAAGUUUCCUCGUUUUAAAUAACGGAAAAAAAAAAAAAAAAAAAAAAAAAAAAAAAAGCACUUGAUACUGGCUUAAUCGCUCGACGCGCGGAGCCAUAGAACCAAGAAGAAGAAGAAACGUCAACGCAACGGUCAAAUGAAUAAAAACAAAAAAAAAAAAUUAUAUACCAAAAUCUUUGUACUUCAAAAAAAACAUAUUUUAUAAUCAUAUAAAACGUUAUUUUUUAAUCGUUAUUCGUUUGUAAAUACAGCGUGUUUAGUUGUUACUACAUGUACAAUAAACCUACCCGUUUUGUAAAAAGACAUUGAAUUAUGCUGCGCCGAUUUUAUCAUUGUUCCUGUGUACUAUUUAAUAAAAAACAAGGUGUUAAACUAUGUAAAAUGCUAAACCCAAAGCACAAGAAGUAAAAGUAACACCAGACUUCAAAACAGUAAACGUUUUCUGGGUGUGCAAAGGAGACACAACAGAUGAGGACACUGACAACUUCCUGCGUUCCAUAGCUGGACCUCUGAGACAUGAGCUGUCAACACUCAGGCUCAUGGGA